AUUGAACGCUGGCGGCAGGCCUAACACAUGCAAGUCGAACGAGUGGCGGACGGGUGAGUAAUGUCUGUGAACCUGCCCGAUGGAGGGGGAUAACUACUGGAAACGGUAGCUAAUCCCGCAUCCCAUCAGAUGUGCCCAGAUGGGCUUAGCUAGUUGGUGGGGUAACGGCGCACCAAGGCGACGAUCCCUAUCUGGUCUGAGAGGAUGAACAGCAACACUGGAACUGAGACACGGUCCAGACGCCUACGGGAGGCAGCAGUGGGGAAUAUUGCACAAUGGGCGCAAGCCUGAUGCAGCCAUGCCGCGUGUAUGAAGAAGGCCUUCGGGUUGUAAAGUACUUUCAGCGGGGAGGCGUUACCCGCAGAAGAAGCACCGGCUAACUCCGUGCCAGCAGCCGCGGUAAUUC
rnacentral:rRNA from 1 species